CGUAUCCGUGGUUCGCCGUAUUCGAUUUCGAAUCCAUGCUACUUAAACUAGAAGGUGACGCCACGGAGAAACUGGAAUGGACCCACCAGCACGUUCCCAUCAGCGUCAGCAUCUGCUCCAACGUCCCCUCUCACAAGGAACCCGUGUGUAUCGUCAACGCGGAGCAAGACGAAUUGCUGAAUGAAAUGGUGGAAGCCUUAACCAGAAUACAAACAGCGGCCGCCACGUACGCAAGCGAAAAAUGGGGCCAGUAUUUUGAGAAACUGAAAAAGUAUUUGGAGUCUCUAAAUGAAGACGGCGAGGAAGGCGCGAAGGAAGUCGAAAAGACGAAACUUCUUUAUGGCAAAUUGAAGGCGUACAUGUCUACGUUGCCCGUACUCGGCUUUAACAGCGCCAAAUACGACCUGAAUUUAGUAAAACAAAAGCUGGCCAAACAUCUGCGCAUGCACGAGCAAAAGUAUGGGUUCGUGGUCAAAAAAGCCAAUUCGUACGCCUGUCUGACGACCGACCGCUUCCGGUUUCUGGAUAUUAGCCACUUUUUGGCUCCUGGAACAUCUUACGCCGGGUUCCUGAAAGCCUAUAGGGUCGAGGAAACUAAAGGCUUCUUCCCCUACGAAUGGCUCGAUGACCCGGCCAAGCUGGAGCAUACUGAGUUACCUCCUCACGAGGCCUUUUACAGCGCCCUUAAAAAUGAGAAUAUCUCAGAGGAGGCAUAUACCUUUUGCCAGAAAGUGUGGACGGAACGCAACAUGUCCACAUUUAAAGACUUUCUUGUCUGGUAUAAUAACCUGGAUGUGGGUCCCUUCGUCACGGCAGUGGAACGUCUACAAAAGUUUUAUUUCGAUAAAAGCAUCGACGUGCUCAAGACGGCCAUGAGCGUGCCAGGUAUAGCCCGACAGCUGCUUUUUGAAUCGGCGACAGAAAAGGGAGCCGAAUUUUCAUUGAUCGAUCGGAAGAACGCCGACCUCCAUGCCACCAUCAAAGAUAAUAUCGUCGGAGGUAGGUUUAUUUAUUUAUUCAUUUAUUUAUUUAUUUAUUUUUAUUUAUUUAUUUAUCUAUUUAUUUAUUUAUUUAUUUAUUUAUUUAUUUAUUUUUAUUAUUGUUGUUGGUAUUCUUUCUUGUUUUAUAAUAUAUUUAUUAUAUCAUUCUAGGUCCUUCCAUCAUUUUCACCCGUCACCACCAGUCAGGAAAGACGAAAAUCAGGGGAGGUAAGACUUGUGAAAAGGUGGUGGGGUACGACGCUAAUGCCUUGUACCUGUGGGCAAUUGGACAGGCUAUGCCAGAAGGCAUGUUCGUGCGUCGUAGAGUCGAAAACGCUUUCAAACCGGAACAUAGGGAUCAGUAUAUGCAGGCGUUUAACUGGUUGAAUUAUUUAAACCAGUACGAAGGGACCCAUAUCCUCCACCAAAGGAAUCACGGCAAGGAGAUCCGCUUCGGAAAAUACCCCGUAGAUGGUUAUGACUCCGAGACCAAGACCAUCUACGAAUUUCAGGGAUGUUAUCACCACGGACACCAAUGCGUCGUCACCAAAAACGUCACCAACGAAAGGUGGCAUCAAAUCAAAGACGCCCUGUUGGAGAGGACGGAAAAAAAGGUGGCUCAACUGCGCCGUAUGGGCUUCAACGUCGUGGAGAUGUGGGAGUGCGAGUUCCGGGACUAUUGUAAAACCCAUCCCAAAAUCUACUGGAUUCGGGAUCAGUGUCGCCCUAUAUUUUGUCAAAAACACCGCGGCAAAGUGACCGAAAACCAAAUUUUAAACGGGGUUCGAACUGGUGAGCUUUUUGGCAUGGUAGAGUGCGACAUCGAGGUCCCGGAAGAAUGGGGUUGCGAAAAGUCUCACAUAUCUUUAUCUCCCCAGCAAUAUUUCGAGGAAAUGUGCCCUAUUUUCUGCAAUACGGAAGUUGGGUUUGACGAUAUCGGGGAGCAUAUGAGAGCCCACGUCUGGGAAUACCAGUUGAGUGACAAACCAAGGCGACUUCUUGUGGGUGGUACUAAAGCUCGCCAAAUCCUGCUCGCAACACCUCUUCUUAAAUGGUACUUGGAUCAUGGACUUCAAGUGACUAAAAUCUAUCAGGUGGUUGAGUACAGAAAGAAAGCUUGCUUCGAAAGUUUCGUGAAGGAAGUCAGCGACGCCAGACGUGCCGGGGACGCAUGUAAAGACAUGGCCAUCAUCGCCGACACCAUGAAGCUCAUUGGCAAUAGCGGGUAAGUGUAUCUAUUUAUUCCUUUAUUUUGUUUGCUAGUUACUUUUCAAGGUAAUUUAUUUGUAUUUUUAUCUAUAUAGUUUUAAUGGUUUUUAUUAUUAUUAUUUAUUUAAAACUUUAUUUACAUAUUAUUUUUUUUAAAUCAUUUAUUUAAUGUUUUCAGUUAUGGUUCAAUGAUAAUGGAUAAAACCAAACACCGCAAUGUGUUUUACGUGGAAGGGGAGAACAGGGCGUGCUUCGAGGUCAACAAACCGCAGUUCAGACAAACCAUGUGUCUGGACGACGACGAUCAAUAUUACGAAGUGGAGGCGGCUAAACAAAGAAUCAAACUCGACCUUCCUGUGCAAUUGGGUUUCUUUAUUCUGCAGUACGCCAAACUAAGGAUGCUGCAGUUUUAUUACGACCUUUUGGACAAAUACG